GGGCCUAUAGCUCAGCUGGUAGAGCUUCCGGCUCAUAACCGGACGGUUGGGGGUUCGAGUCCCUCUGGGCCCACCA
rnacentral:tRNA from 1 species